GAUGAACGCUGGCGGCGUGCCUAAUACAUGCAAGUCGAACGCAUUGUGGUUGAAAUGAUAUGAAGAACUUGUUCAGAUUUGAUUUUCAACAUUGCAAUGAGUGGCGAACGGGUGAGUAACACGUGGGAAACCUACCUCUUAGCAGGGGAUAACAUUUGGAAACAAAUGCUAAUACCGUAUAAAUAAUUAAAACCGCAUGGUUUUAGUUUAAAAGAUGGUCUCGCUAUCACUAAGAGAUGGUCCCGCGGUGUAUUAGUUAGUUGGUGAGGUAAUGGCUCACCAAGACAAUGAUACAUAGCCGAGUUGAGAGACUGACCGGCCACAAUGGGACUGAGACACGGCCCAUACUCCUACGGGAGGCAGCAGUAGGGAAUCUUCCACAAUGGACGAAAGUCUGAUGGAGCAACGCCGCGUGUGUGAUGAAGGGUUUCGGCUCGUAAAACACUGUUGUAAGAGAAGAAUGACAUUGAGAGUAACUGUUCAAUGUGUGACGGUAUCUA
rnacentral:rRNA from 1 species